rnacentral:tRNA from 1 species
UUCUAAUAUGGCAGAUUAGUGCAAUGGAUUUAAAUCCCAUAUAUAAAGUUUAUAUCUUUUUUUAGAAA